GACGGACGCUGGCGGCGUGCUUAACACAUGCAAGUCGAACGGAAAGGCCCUGCUUUUGUGGGGUGCUCGAGUGGCGAACGGGUGAGUAACACGUGAGUAACCUGCCCUUGACUUUGGGAUAACUUCAGGAAACUGGGGCUAAUACCGGAUAGGAGCUCCUGCUGCAUGGUGGGGGUUGGAAAGUUUCGGCGGUUGGGGAUGGACUCGCGGCUUAUCAGCUUGUUGGUGGGGUAGUGGCUUACCAAGGCUUUGACGGGUAGCCGGCCUGAGAGGGUGACCGGCCACAUUGGGACUGAGAUACGGCCCAGACUCCUACGGGAGGAAGCAGUGGGGAAUAUUGCACAAUGGGCGGAAGCCUGAUGCAGCAACGCCGCGUGCGGGAUGACGGCCUUCGGGUUGGAAACCGCUUUCGCCUGUGACGAAGCGUGAGUGACGGUAAUGUGUAAAGAAGCACCGGCUAACUACGUG
rnacentral:rRNA from 1 species